CCUACGGGAGGCUGCAGUGGGGAAUAUUGGACAAUGGUGGGAACCCUGAUCCAGCCAUGCCGCGUGUGUGAAGAAGGCCCUCGGGUUGUAAAGCACUUUCAGUGAGGAAGAACGCCUGGUGGUUAAUACCCAUCAGGAAAGACAUCACUCACAGAAGAAGCACCGGCUAACUCCGUGCCAGCAGCCGCGGUAAUACGGAGGGUGCGAGCGUUAAUCGGAAUUACUGGGCGUAAAGCGCGCGUAGGUGGCUUGAUAAGCCGGUUGUGAAAGCCCCGGGCUCAACCUGGGAACGGCAUCCGGAACUGUCAAGCUAGAGUGCAGGAGAGGAAGGUAGAAUUCCCGGUGUAGCGGUGAAAUGCGUAGAGAUCGGGAGGAAUACCAGUGGCGAAGGCGGCCUUCUGGACUGACACUGACACUGAGGUGCGAAAGCGUGGGUAGCAAACAGGAUUAGAUACCCCGGUAGUC
rnacentral:rRNA from 1 species